GGGGUUUCCCAGUUCAGGUCAGGACCAGGGCGGGCGUAUGGCUGGAGCGAUGGCGGCGGUGUUCGCUCUACCUCCUCCCCCGGUUCGUGCAGGAAGACAUGGAAUGGGAGUUCUGGUCAGUUCAUGGUGUCACCACCAUUUCUAACUGGCCCAGCCUUGGCCUGCAGCCGGUCCAUCCUGGAGCCGGCUGGCGUUGCCUCUGCAGGACACGGAGGAGCAGCUGCUUCCAGCAGCCUCUCACAGAAGGCGCUCCUGGAGCCUCCCCUUAGCAAAAUCUGGCCAUGCAAACCUAAUAUAAUAUUGUAGGGUUUUAUUACCAUUAUGAAUUCUUAUUAUUGCUAUUAUCUUUUUUUGCAAAUAAUGUUACAGUUGUUAUUAGUGGUGUUUUUAGUCUUUUUGACUCUUUGUUAUAGUUUUGUCUUGGAUUAUGUAACCAAAAGUAUGUGUAUUCUAUUUCAUCUCUUGAAUCCAGUUGGGGAGAUGGUUUUUCUUCCUUUAUCUCUUGUAACUCAGGGGGCAGUGGGGCAGAUGCUUUCUGAUAAUAGACCAGCUGUAAAACCAGGUGGGGCAGUGUUUCUUAUCUCUUCCACCACUGUGGGGGAGGUGGUGAUAUCUUCUGUUAAUGGGCCAUUAAGGCUCACCAAUCACAUGACACAUUACAUCAUCCCAUUGUGAGAUGCUCCACCCUUUGUUGUGGGGGAGCCAGCCAUUGCUACCAAGAUAAAAAGUGAGAUGUAGGAACACCAAGCAUCCCCAUUUCCACUGGAUUCUCAGAGGAAGACCAGACUCAUCUCAUCGCCACUACAGGAUCAUCUCUAAUCCGACAGAACCACAUCUGUCACUCCCGAAGAACUUAGGUGGACUGCUUCCAACACCCUGGCUGACAGGGUGUCAGGUCAUAUUUCUGACUCAGUCAGGGCUUUCUAUGACUUUCAUUUGUUUGUUUACUUGGUAUUGUUUGUAUUACUGCAUUUGCAUUUUUAAUAUUCCUAGUAAAAGACUGUUACUCCUAUUCCCAUAUUUUUGCCUGAAAGUUCCUAAUUGCAAAACUGUAAUAAUUUGGAGGGAGCAGUUUUUACAUUCUCUAUUCCAAGGGAAACUCCAGUUUUCCCUGACAGUUACCUGUCAUUCCAAACCAACAGAAGUGGCUAUAGUAGAACUUGAAACAAAAGCUCUUAAUUGCAAUUAGAAGUUAUAAUAUACCCUAUUCUGUGUCAUUGCUCUGUGUGAAGCAGCUGCUGCCAGGGCUCCCUAUUUCCCUGGUUUGGGAAAUUUGAUGGCAUUGCUCACAUGUCAGAAAGAGAGGGCUCAUUCCAAUCAACUGGAUUGCCUGAGCUCUUCUAGUCCCAGUGUUCAAAGGUUGUUUUCUGACCUUGUUGACUUUCUCAGCUUCUCUUAAUAUUUGUGAUUUUAUACCAAAGUGUUCUGGGAUGCGAUUUUGUAAGAUUCUGUAAUCUGCUGUGUCUUUUGCUCUUGGAUUUCUUAGUGGUGUGUCAGGACUGAAGGCAGCAUUUUAGGUGGGAAGCCUUCAGUGUGAGAUAGGAUUGUCUCGGCAGCAGCUGGAUUUGCAGAUCUAAGCAGAGCUGACAAAGAUUCCAUGAACUGAAUAUUCUGUCAGGUUGUGGAAGCCGCAGUGUCCGGCUCGAAGGAGGUGCGGUGGGAGGUGCGGGUUGUGCAGGACUCCGGUGGGCAAUGGCCGGAGCCCCCGGCAAGGGGCCGGCAAUGGACACUGGCCCUUUGCAGAGCAGGGGCUCGGGGCCCUGCGGCGCCGGGCGGUCGGUGCCCGGUGAGCCCGGGACUGUGCGGGAGCCGGGAAGAGCGAGAGAGGCCGGGCCAAAGAUCAGCACCGGGGCAGGCACGGUCUGGGAGGGGGCACAGCCCAGGGGCCCGCAGAGCCUCCCUGCUGCAAAGCCGCACCUGCGACAGCGGGGCAGCUGCUGGGAUCUUUGGGGCAGGGAGGAGGCAGUUGAAGCAGUGAUCCUGAAGAAAGAUCUGGUAGGUCUUUUGCUCUGGGAAUCCAGUGGGUAAGGCCUGCUGUGCUGUCCCAAAUCCCACAUUAUAUCCAGGUGGGAAUGCUUGGCUCCUCCCCCUGGGUGGAGCAUCUCACAAUGGGCAGAUAUCAUUCUAUGAGUCAUGCAGUGGGUCCUUGAUUGCCCAUAAAACAGAGAUAGCUCCUAGAGGGAGUUACCUGUGAGUCAUGGGGCAAGGUCUGGAUGGCCCAUUAACAGAAGAUAGUCUGGAGGAGGGGGCAAGGGAAACACUGCCCCACCUAGUUUCAACAGAUGGUGAAGAUGGUGAUAGAAUACAUACUUUGGGCAUAUCUUACACUAUAACCUAGGACAAAAUGUUUUGUAAUUACCUGUGAUCAUAGCAGUAAGGAGCUAUCCCAUGCCUGCCCGCGUCGCAAUAAACAUACACUUUCUAACUUGAUCUGGUAGAGAGUUUUUGUCUGUCACAGUUGGGUAUCGAUAUGAGAUCAAUAUUCAUAUUUUAAUAAAUCAGUACCCCUGGAGCCCCUCUGACACCCAGCUGGGGAGCGCAGAGAAGGGGAAGCUCUGGGAUUGCCAGGAGCCCCAGUAGCCCAGAGAGAGGGGAUACCAAUAGACACUGGAGCUGCAGAAGCCCAGACAGCAGGGACCCUCUGAACCCCAGUGUGGAGAGACCAGAGGCAGGAAACUCCUGGGUAGAUGAUUUUUUGCUGAAUCUCAGUGGUUUGGGUGUUUUUUGAGGGUGGCUGGAUCUUGGUGGUCUAGAAGUUUUUAUGGACACCAGACAUCUGGUGACUUCUAGAAAUGGACUUGGGCAGGACAAACACCCAAGCCAAUGCACUCACACCUUAUUUGCCCCCCCCCCAACCAGAAUUCCAUUUCCCAAAGUUUGGCCAGAUGGAGGAGGAGGCUGCAAGGAAGAAGAAGAUGGCCCAGAAGCCCCAGUCAUGUGAGGCUUUCCCCCUCUCCUGCUCCAUCUCCCAGCCCAGCUUGGCCCCUGGCUGCAGGAUAUGAAAAAUGAAAGUUCAGUCUUUAGAACAUUUUUAAAAGUUUAAUUAGGGAAUGCUAAUGGACAGUCUCCAGCUCUGGGGUGUUCCUGGCUAUCGGUCAAAGAACACCAAAGGAAGUUAAGACAGUGUUACCUAUACACUGUUACUUUACUGAGGUACAUAUGUAUUGGUAAGUUUCAUGCAUUUUUCAAACAUUUUUGGAAGCUUUUGAUGUGGCAGGAACUCUCUGUUAUUUUAGUUUUACUCUCUGACUUAUCUGCAUGACAUCCUGCAGAUGACGUCAAUAUAUUUAUUGCUUUUUGUGGUUUCAUCCUGUUUUUUCACAUUUCCUUGAUAAAAUGAGUUAACAAGUUCUUUUCUAAUUCUCCUCCAGUGCUCUGGUUUGUGUCAAUGUUAUCACUUGGAGAGGUCAGUCAGUAGGUGUGGGAAACAACAUCAUUGGUUUAUUUAGUUCUCUUAGUUCUAUAGAAGUAUUUUAACAUUCUAUGUUUUACUAAGGCCUGCAGUAUCAUACAUUCACCACACCAUUAUUUCUUUAAACUAUAUGGUGUAUACUUAGAUCUAAUAUAUUCAUGACACUACUAUUUGCUUGGGCUAUACAGUGCAUACUUAGAAUGAUAGAUUAUGUUAUAUUAG